GUAAGGAAUAUUGGUCAAUGGACGAAAGUCUGAACCAGCCAUGCCGCGUGGAGGAUGAAGGUCCUCUGGAUUGUAAACUUCUUUUAUAUGGGACGAAAAUGGGGCUUUCUAGCUCAACUGACGGUACCAUAUGAAUAAGCACCGGCUAACUCCGUGCCAGCAGCCGCGGUAAUACGGAGGGUGCAAGCGUUAUCCGGAUUCACUGGGUUUAAAGGGUGCGUAGGUGGAUUGGUAAGUCAGAGGUGAAAUCUCCGGGCUCAACUCGGAAACUGCCUUUGAUACUAUCAAUCUUGAAUAUUGUGGAGGUUAGCGGAAUAUGUCAUGUAGCGGUGAAAUGCUUAGAUAUGACAUAGAACACCAAUUGCGAAGGCAGCUGGCUACACAUAUAUUGACACUGAGGCACGAAAGCGUGGGGAUCAAACAGGAUUAGAUACCCUAGUAGUCC
rnacentral:rRNA from 1 species